AGAUUGAACGCUGGUGGCAGGCCUAACACAUGCAAGUCGAGCGGCAGCACGGGUACUUGUACCUGGUGGCGAGCGGCGGACGGGUGAGUAAUGCCUAGGAAUCUGCCUGGUAGUGGGGGAUAACGCUCGGAAACGGACGCUAAUACCGCAUACGUCCUACGGGAGAAAGCAGGGGACCUUCGGCCUUGCGCUAUCAGAUGAGCCUAGGUCGGAUUAGCUAGUUGGUGAGGUAAUGGCUCACCAAGGCGACGAUCCGUAACUGGUCUGAGAGGAUGAUCAGUCACACUGGAACUGAGUCACGGUCCAGACUCCUACGGGAGGCAGCAGGUGGGAAUAUUGGACAAUGGGGACGAAAGCCGUGAAUCCAAGCCAUCGCCGCGUGUGUGAAAGAAGGUUCUUCGGAUUAGUAAAGCAGUUUAAGUGGAAGGAGGACUA
rnacentral:rRNA from 1 species